GACGAACGCUGGCGGCGUGCUUAACACAUGCAAGUCGAGCGGUAAGGCCCUUUCGGGGGUACACGAGCGGCGAACGGGUGAGUAACACGUGGGUGACCUGCCCUCAGCUCUGGGAUAAGCCUGGGAAACCGGGUCUAAUACCGGAUAUGACUCCAUGACGCAUGUUGUGGGGUGGAAAGCCUUGUGCGGCUGAGGAUGGGCCCGCGGCCUAUCAGCUUGGUUGGUGGGGUGAUGGCCUACCAAGGCGACGACGGGUAGCCGGCCUGAGAGGGCGACCGGCCACACUGGGACUGAGACACGGCCCAGACUCCUACGGGAGGCAGCAGUGGGGAAUCUUGCGCAAUGGGCGAAAGCCUGACGCAGCGACGCCGCGUGAGGGAUGACGGCCU
rnacentral:rRNA from 1 species